rnacentral:rRNA from 1 species
GCGGCGGCCUAAUACAUGCAAGUCGAACGAGGUUUAGUAGCAAUACUAAACUUAGUGGCGCACGGGUGCGUAACGCGUAUGCAACCUACCUUCAACUGGGGGAUAGCCCCUCGAAAGAGGGAUUAAUACCCCAUAGUAAUUAGAUAAGGCAUCUUAUUUAGUUUAAAGUUCCGGCGGUUGAAGAUGGGCAUGCGUGACAUUAGCUAGUUGGUGAGGUAACUGCUCACCAAGGCUACGAUGUCUAGGGGUUCUGAGAGGAUGAUCCCCCACACUGGUACUGAGACACGGACCAGACUCNUACGGGAGGCAGCAGUAAGGAAUAUUGGUCAAUGGACGCAAGUCUGAACCAGCCAUGCCGCGUGAAGGAUGAAUGCCCUAUGGGUUGUAAACUUCUUUUGUACGGGAAUAAACCCAGGUACGUGUACCUGGCUGAAUGUACCGUAAGAAUAAGGAUCGGCUAACUCCGUGCCAGCAGCCGCGGUAAUACGGAGGAUCCAAGCGUUAUCCGGAUUCAUUGGGUUUAAAGGGUGCGUAGGCGGAUUUGUAAGUCAGUGGUGAAAGCCUGCAGCUCAACUGCAGAACUGCCAUUGAUACUGCAAGUCUUGAGUACACUUGACGUGGGCGGAAUGUGUCAUGUAGCGGUGAAAUGCUUAGAUAUGACACAGAACACCGACUGCGAAGGCAGCUCACGAAAAUUGUAACUGACGCUGAGGCACGACAGCGUGGGGNAUCAAACAGGAUUAGAUACCCUGGUAGUCCACGCCGUAAACUAUGAAUACUCGAUGU